UAUUAUGGUAAAAGUGUUAAAUUCAAUAAAAAAGUAAUAAAAGCUAAAAAAGCUAAUCAGUCAAAAAUAUUUUGGCCUAAUUGUGAAGUGUUCUUUUACAGGUUUUAAUAAAUUAAUUAAAAGCAGUUCACAAGCUUCUUCAUUAACUAUAGCCAGGAUCCCUAGGGGGCUGUAUCAUCAUACAAAACGGUAUAAGAGAAAAUUUCAUAAAUUCAAUGGAAGCUUAGUAUCGUCCGAAAAGAAAGCUGCUAAAAUAUGGACCAAUUGCGCA